rnacentral:rRNA from 1 species
GUAGCCGGGUUGAGAGACCGACCGGCCAGAUUGGGACUGAGACACGGCCCAGACUCCUACGGGAGGCAGCAGUGGGGAAUCUUGCGCAAUGGGGGGAACCCUGACGCAGCGACGCCGCGUGCGGGACGGAGGCCUUCGGGUCGUAAACCGCUUUCAGCAGGGAAGAGUCAAGACUGUACCUGCAGAAGAAGCCCCGGCUAACUACGUGCCAGCAGCCGCGGUAAUACGUAGGGGGCGAGCGUUAUCCGGAUUCAUUGGGCGUAAAGCGCGCGUAGGCGGCCCGGCAGGCCGGGGGUCGAAGCGGGGGGCUCAACCCCCCGAAGCCCCCGGAACCUCCGCGGCUUGGGUCCGGUAGGGGAGGGUGGAACACCCGGUGUAGCGGUGGAAUGCGCAGAUAUCGGGUGGAACACCGGUGGCGAAGGCGGCCCUCUGGGCCGAGACCGACGCUGAGGCGCGAAAGCUGGGGGAGCGAACAGGAUUAGAUACCCUGGUAGUCCCAGCCGUAAA